GCUCAACUCACCGUGUCUCCUUUCUCAAAGCUCUCCGCCGUUGGCCGUACCCAAGAGGAAAAAGAAGAAAAGCAACAACUAGAAAGUGAGGCAGAGACAUUUCCCACCCAGUUGUGAAACUGAGCCAAGUCACGGAGAAAAACUGGGAUCAAAGAAAUGAUCCAACUUGUGAGCCGGAGCCAAACACCUCGCUACGAGUUGCUGAUGUCUAACCCUGCAACGGGAACACCGAGAGAACGCUUCACCCGGCUCCAAGACGCCAACAAUGAGUCAUUAAUACUCCCCAGGCCCCAGGAAGCCUCACUUCACUCAGGGAGGCUGAAACAAAGAGGAGUGGCCUCCCUCACAAAGCGAGCCUCCCACAGCACACGUGGUUGGCUCCCACACCUGCCCUGAAACUCACAAUCCCCGGUCCCCCCUCCCCAGGCAAGCUCCACUCCGGAAGUCGGUUCAGCACUGCUCAGAAUGCCCUCUCUAUGGGGACACAGACACGGGAGGAGACAUCAUCAUGUGUAAAGAGAAAGGCGCAGGGACUCGGGUAUGAAGCUGUGCAAGCUCAUGCCUUCCUCACGUAUGUCUUCAAAGAGAUAAGCACUCAACCCAGGCAGGCAGGUAGGGUGGGAGGUCACGGCCCCGACCAGGACUGUGUCGUGGGGUCUCCACUUGCUGGCUGUGCAACUAUAUGCAAGAGUUUUGAUGUCUCUGCGGCCUCAUGUCCUCUUCUGGAACACAGGAAACAGAAACCAUAACGCUGCAACAUCUUUAAACAACAGGGAAGCCGUGAAGUCCUCUUGCAGAGGCUGAUUUCAACUUCCUGCAUUUCACUUUUUGAUUUAAAAAUUCGGUCAAAUCCUUUCUGGCUGUAGACAAGAACAGGUGUUCCCUGUAUAUUCAGCCCCAGAGUCACACUUCAGAUGCGCGUCCUCUGACGAAGACGGAAGGCAGCCUGUCCGCGUGUCUGAGUGUGUCACGGCCAUUCUGGCUCUGCCCACCAGUCCAUGAGCUCCUCUCCGGAGGCAGUGUAUUUCUCCGUUCUCCUCCAGCCCAACUUGUCAGCAGCCCCCUUGGGCGGCAAACGUAAAGGUUGUUUGGCUUCAAAGGUCAGCUCGGUACCCGUUCUUUGCCUCUGCUGCCAGAGUCCUACGAAAGCCGCGGGAGUGCAAGCCAUCCUGGAGGCAGGCCACCCCCGCUCCCACCCCCGUUCUCACUCCUUCACCAGCGCCCCCCUCGCCUGAACAGUGUCUUCAGCCAAGGAAGGACAGACGCUCACAGGCUGUGUUCCCACCGCCUUCCUCGCGCAGAAAAGCUUAAGCGCCAAAGCUCAGCACACACAGUUGUUCAAGUCACACAGCAGAAGCCACCAAGGGGGUCAGAUAGAAGGAGCCCUGGGGCUGGGGGGAUGACCCUUUGGUGUCCGUGGGCCUCUGUGCUCAAGAGGCUUGACAGUGCAGCGAAUAUAGCCUGGUUCAAAGUCAGGGAGGCUGUUUGGCUACAUUCUCAGGCAGUCAUUUCUAUUAAUGAGGCACCUGUCCUAAAAAUGCAGCUCUCAAAUCAGGGUCCAGGGCCUUUGGCACCCUGGCAGAUUCUUCCAGAUGGUCAGCAGGCUGUCGCAUCCAAUAUUAAUGCUUAAACUAUGACAGCAUCAACACCUCUGCUUCCAGCAUGACAAAACCACGUCCUUUCCUUGUGACAUCUCUAAGAACCAUGGACUGUCACCACUCAGGAACUUGGAGAGUUCCAACCUAUCCUCACUUCAUAGAUGAAAAGCCUGAGACCAGGAGCCAGGAAAAGCCACGCCGUAGCCCUUAAGAUUAAUGCCAGGUAGGGCAAGAACCCCAGUGCAGAUUUUCCUUGAGCUACAAUACCUGAACUGCCUUAAGGAAACACCUACUGUCAACCAUAGACUUUCUCCCACUCAAGUCCAGUGAAGGGUUUUUCCUAUCAAGGGUGGGUUCAGUAGCUAGACCAUGGGGAACUUUGCUUAAAUCACUGGAGAACCUCUGUUGUUAAUCAGAUUAAAUCCAAAGAGGAUUUAUUAAGUUUAUUUUUCAUUAGACAAUAUAAAACCAGCAAGUUCAAGGUCUUCUCAGUCUCAGAGGUCUAGGCUGUGUCCAGAACCCUACAGUUUACCUACCCUAGUUUACAGCUAUGACUCUCAACCAUUACUAUGCAUCAGAAUCGCCUGGAAGGUGUUCUAAAAUGCGGCUUGCUGGGCCCUAGAAUUUCAGACUCAGGAACUCUGAGGCAAGACCCAAGAACGUGUAUUUCAUAUAAAUUCCCAGGUGACACCACAACCCACUUUGAGAACCAUGUACUCGAGUGUCACCAAGA
ensembl:lncRNA